GGGGCUAUGGCGCAGCGGGAGCGCGCUUCCUUGGCAUGGAAGAGGUCAGGGGUUCAAUUCCCCUUAGCUCCACCA
rnacentral:tRNA from 1 species